rnacentral:lncRNA from 1 species
UAAAAGACUUAUAUUUAGGUACGGAGGGAGUAAAUCUCAAACCACGAUCCAUUUUAUUCGCCGUCGUCCGUUUGGGUCGACGCGGGCACAAAAAGCGGUCCAACGCGUCGAUCCAAACGGACGCGCUCCCGGUUAUUCGUCCACAGACACCCCAUUUCCAGCCCAUUUUGAGCCGGAUUUGCGUCGACACGGACACACGACGGACGCGCGCACGCUCGCCUUCUCCUCUCCCGGGCCCGAUGGUCUGUAGCACAUUGGCCUCCCCCCAUCCAACCCUCGCCCGCCUCCUUCGUCGCCGAGGCCGCCGCCCAUUUUUCCGACGACUCUGCCAGCUGCCGGCGCCUUCACAUCCGCCCAGCAACGCCGCCCACUCCCACGUCGCCCGUCGCCGCUAUCUUGCCGUCGGGGAGCCGACUACUUCCCACUCCCCCCCCCCGCCGCCAUACAGCCUGCCCCGACGAAGAAGUCGCCUCGCCGCCCGGCCAGAUCCUCACCAGCACGCUCGUCGGACACCGGGCCACUUGUGGACGUCGACAGGGCAGCUAGCUGGUUCGUGCAUGCCGUGACUCCCUUCGUUGGCCGUCUCCUUCCUCGACGCCCGCAGGUUGUUCGACAGUUUGCCAAGGUACAAAAUGGACUCCGCCGACGAGUUUUUUUCACAAUUUCCUUUGCGACUCCGACAAUUCAUCGUCCGAUGACGAGGAGGAGGUAUUGCCUGCCGUGUUGGUCCAUCACCACCGCAACAGCCAGCGGCCGUUGUUCCGUGGCUCCAUUCCGGGCCACCUUCCGGCGUUGAAUCGCAAUCGAGAGAGCGGACAUUUCUUUCUUUGGAAGGACUACUUUGAUACAACAAACCCGUUGUUCAAACAACAAAAAUUCCGCCGCCGUUUCCGUAUGAGUAGGCAUCUUUUCAACUGUAUUAGAGAGGGGGUGGUCAGCUAUGAUGACUAUUUCGAGUGCAAAGAGGAUGCCGUUGGCAAGAUAGGUUUUUCCUCUUAUCAAAAAUGCACUGCCGCCAUCUGAAUGCUUGCAUACGGAGUGCCCGGUGAUCUCAUUGACGAGUACGUCUGUAUGAGCGAGUCUACUUGCCUAGAGUCCCUGGAUAAGUUCUGCAAGGUUGUUAUUGCUGUGUUUGGCCCUGAGUACUUGAGAGAGCCGACUGUUGAAGAUACAACUCGUUUGUUGGCGAUGAAUGCUAGCAGGGGCUUCCCAGUGAUGCUUGGUAGCAUAGACUGCAUGCACCGGGAGUGGAAGAACCGCCCUUCUGCUUCGCAAGGGCAGUAUAAGGGCCAUGUCAAGGCUUGCACUGUCAUACUAGAGGUCGUGGCGUCUGAAGAUCUCUGGAUCUGACACUCUUUNNNNNNNNNNNNNNACUCUUUCUUUGGCAUGACCGGAUCGCACAAUGAUAUUAACGUGCUUCAGCGCUCGUCGGUGUUUCCUAGGCUUGCCGAAGGCAACAGGCCACCGGUGAACUUUACUAUCAACGACCACAACUACGACAAAUGAUACUACCUGGGUGAUGGUAUCUAUCCUCGGUGGACCACUAUUGUCAAGACAAUACCCAACCAUGUCGGAGAGAAGAGGAAAAGAUUUGCCCAAGAGCAAGAGAGUGCUAGGAAGGAUGUCGAGCGUGCCUUUGGUGUUUUGCAAUCUCGAUGGGGCAUCGUGCGGUAUCCUGCUAAUACAUGGAGCACGUAGAAACUAUGAGAGGUGGUGACUGCUUGUGUGAUCAUGCAUAAUAUGAUCGUAGAAGACGAGCGACCGGAAUGUCUGUACGAUCAAGGGUUUCAGUUUCAGGGUGAGAAUGUUGUGCGUGAGCAUGGAGGAGCGGCAACGUUUGAAUAGUUCACUCAAUUUCAUUAAGACAUGCGUGAUUGGAAAACUCACGUGCAACUGCAAAAUGAUUUGGUUAAGCAUAUGUGGGCUCAUGUUGGCAACCAAUAGAUUUAUAUUUUUUUAUUCGUUUUGCACAACUAUGUGAGACUUUUUUAUUUUUAUUCGGCUUGUAAUAAUUAUGCUAUUUUAUCCGGUCCAAAUUAUGUUAUUUGAUUCAAACUAUGAAAAUCAUGCAAAAUAGGGCGGUCAGCCGGCCACGCCGGCACAUAUGGGUCGACGCGUUGGGCGCGCUGUCGACCCAUAUCUAAAACUUGACGGAUAUCGGGCGGGCGGCCGACCCAAACGGACAAAAAGCGGACGAAAUCGCCGUCCGUUUGGGUCGCCCCAUUGGAGUUGCUCUAAUGCAUUGCUAUGUUAUAGGAAACGUUUGGAGACAGCGCGUCGGUCGAACCGUUCGUCCGGUCACGUGCAAUCCAUGCGGGUGACUUGUCGAGUCACGUAGCAUUUUUCGUCCAGAUUUGUUGCAACCGGCGUCUAAAUUUGUUAUAAGCGUUUAAAUUUGUUAUAAUUUGUUCAUUAAAAAAGUUGCAUUCACGUUUGGUUGCAACCCGAGUUCGUCGGAUUUUUUCGCUACAACCGGCGUUUGAUUUUUGCUACAACCGGUAUCAUUUUUUGCUACAACCAUUCACUAAAAAAAAUUAUAUACACGUUCGUCAGAGUUGCAACCCGAGUUUAUCGGAUUGUUUUGCUACAACCCACAUUUUUGUUUUGCUACCACGCAUCAUCAACGUCGUUUUUUUGCUACGAUCACGUUGAUAUAUUUUACUACAACCAUGACCGAAAUUUGCUACAUCGCUGUUUAUUUUCUUCAAUCGAUGAUUUUUGCUACAUGAACAGAUCUGACGGUCAAACCAAAUUCAAUCUGACGGAUCAAACAGUUCGUGUGCGGACGACCGAAAGUUUCGGCCGACACGCCGACGCAGAGUAGUGACCUAUGUUAUAUCAUAGUCUUGCUUUUGCUUUUGCGGAAAUAAUUGAAACGUAUUCGUAUUUUAAUUAAAGAUGGAAAAUACCAUUUUAUUUGGAAAGACUACGAGACAUACUCCCUUUAAAUAUAAGUAUUUUUAGACAUUUUAAGAGGGCUCCACAUACAGAACAAAACGGGUGAAUCUACACUUUAAAAUAUAUUUAUAUACAUAUAUAUGUAGUUUAAUAGUAAAAUCUCUAAAAUUCCUAUAUUUAGAAAAGAAGAGAGUAGGUGAUAAUGUUUAGCUGGAUAAAUAAGAAGAAAUACAGUAUAUAUAAAGAAACAUUCUCACUAAGGUGAGGAUAGUAAUACAAUUUGCCAAGAUGAUGGAUGAAAGAUGGAACAACACAAGCUCCAACGACAUUCGCAAGACUUUAUAAAAGCUAAGGAUAAUUCCCUUCGUUCUAAAAUAUAAUGCGUAUUAUUUUUUUCAAAAAUCAAACAUGUACAUGUUUGAUCAAGCUUUUAGAAAAAAUAAUCCAUCUCAAAACGUAUUUUCAUAUUUUAUUUAUUUUGUAUUGUAGAUGUUGAUAUUUUAUUCUAUAAUUUUGGUCAAACAUAUGGAAGUUUGACUUAGAUGAAACGAAUACGCCUUAUAUUCUAGAAUGAAUGGAGUAAAAGCUAGUUGUAAGGUGCAUCGUACAUCAUCUUUAAUCAACACGUCGAUGGUUCUAAAUUCUACAUGCAAAACCAAGUUGUUUUAUUUAAAAAAGGUUAGAUUUUUUAUUAUCAAAUAUAUAAACUAUUUAGUCAACUCAUGAUGCAUAAACUGCUUCUUCGAGCUUGUUCUCGGAUGUUCAUGUAGGUAUAAGGUUUAUUGUGUUUAUCCUAGACUUGAUUGCUUUAAUUUUGCCUAACUGUUUGGAAGAUUGGUCCAUAAUUUUGGGCUAAUCCUAACAUAACUCUGAACUAUAACAUGUGUGGACUAGUGAUCUGAAUUAAAUCAAUUGCUAAGAUGCCUUCCUUAAAGAGGGGAGAAAGUAAGAAACUCUAAUCUUUCUUGGUCUAAGCAGAGAGCAUUGGUUGUUGUGUGAGAACCCUCCCCCCCCCCCCCCCCCCCCCCCGAGAGAGAGAGAGAGAACCAAGAGAGGAGAGAUGAAGAGAAGUUGAUCUUCAUCAAGCCCGUUCCUUGAAGGCUCAAAUGUUGUUGCAUUGACUCCAAACCUGAUGAGUUUGUUCCAUGGUAGGUCUGAUAUUAGUUUAGGAUUUUUGUUUGUUGAGGAAUCAAAGUUACACAAUCUUGGGACAUUGUCCUUGAGAGAUAGAAUGUUGGACUGAGAUGCAUUUUUAUAACAUGUUGAGGACUCAGCAUACUACAAGUACGCUAAGUUGCACAAUGUUUGUCUGUCUUGUUUAAAAAUAAUAUCUGACAGCUAAACAUAAUAGACUGUAGUAUCUUGGUUUAGCAUGUUUUUAGUUAUCACUUGUUUUCUCUUUAUUAGGAGUGAUUGUUGGUAUUGGUAAAUUGUAACGUGUGUUGUUUUUGUUGUGAUCCUCUAGACGUGCAAGAAGAUUCUAUUGUUGCAUUUCACUAAAAGUAGAAGUUGGAGUGGAUUGGUUGGUGUUUUUACUUCUCACGUCGAGAAGUUUUUCAUGUAAAUCAUUAUGUCACAAGUUGAGGGGGAUUGUGAUGUCAUAUAUUCAGUUCUCAUGAUAGGGGAUUAGAACAAAGAAAGAAUAAAAAAUAUCUUCGGCAAGACAAUACACUUGGGUUCUUGAUUCACCAAUGUCAACAAAUCGAGUUUUAUAUGGGUAUAAUAUCUAUUUGUGAAUUGAUAUUUUAAUUCAUGAAUUCAAUUAUUAUGAUUUGCAAACUCAAAUUUGUUGACCAAUAUAUGCUCCGAAAUUCAUUAUAGACCAUUUAAUUCCAACAUAAUAAUUGAUUCAAAAUAAUAGUUGUUCGGGUCGCACGAUGUUGUUGCUACACUUUUUGAGAUUGGAGGGUUGUGACCAUGUGGCGUGACAUUGUGUGGAAACUAAUGUGGUGGUCAUUGUUCUUUGUUUGGUAAUUUCUCCAUAUGGGUUUAUUAGCCCUCUUGUAUUUUGGAUAAACUUUGACUUUAGAGUCGUAUGGCAAGAUAUAAGUUAUAUGUCACAAAAUAUAUAUUGUUGGAUUCGGUGGUGCUUUUUUGUUAUAUACAAAACAUAUUUAUACUAGUCGUGAUAAAAGUUUGACCCAAAGUAUGAGAGGGGAUAAUAAACUCGGAUGGAGGAAGUAGAAGUGAAUUGGAACAACCAUUGUUUUGUGUAGCAGUUUAUUUCAUCAGGAAGCAAUCGACGUUCAAGUUUUUUGUUCACAUUUUACCUAUACACAUGUACUAUCCUCCAAAUCUGCAAACCAGUAAACCUCCACGAGAAAACACCUUAUAUUUCGCCUCGUUGUUUGCUCAUUGGAAACCCUAGUGUUUGGUCUUGAACUCUAGGUCUAAUGUCCGAAAUCUGUGGUUUGCUCUCUAUACACCUUAGAGAUUAACCCUAGAACUUAAGGCUUUGGUAAUCCCCCAUUUUUCUCCACCAAACCUAUUACUCUUGUAGCUAGACGUACUCCUAAGCGGUAGGAGUCCAUUAUGGGAACUUUCAAGUUGUGGAAACACCCUCGGAAGUGUUUGUGAAGGUUUUAUGGUCACCUUAAGUUGUUGGCCCCACAAGUACAGAGAUUUGCACCCCCAUCCCCAACUAAGAACCAAGAUAUCAAUCCAUAUAGGUAACAAUCUGGGCUCAGUCAAGCAACACUACAUAACAAAUGAAGAACCAACUUGUGCACUCAGUGGUUCUAGUGAGGUUGUCAAUCUCACUAGCUUUGGUGGUUGCACCAAGUUAUGAGCGUAUAAUGUGUAUGGAAGUUUUUCUUGGAUCAAAUAAUAACUAACACUAAAAGUGUGUAUAAAAGGAUAUGUAGAAUUUUCUUAUCGGGGAAAUUGGGUCAGGUUUCAUAGGUUCGCUAGUGGCAUCUCUCAAAACAACAGUGACAUGUAAAUAUAAGCAUAGGUAUAUGUUACAAGUAAUCAAAAAUUCAUAAAAAAAUCAUAGAAUGUGGAGAUCAUGCUAAAUAAGCAUGCCACAUACAACUCUUAGAGACUAACAAACGUCCCAUAUAAUAGCUAAUACUCCACCCGAGGUGCGUGUAACUAUUGUGAAUUCACCACAAUCAUACAAUAUUUUUUAUCCCCAGUGAGGUAAAUUUGUCUAAGCUUUUCCUCUCUUACUAUCACUGAAUAUACUUCAUAAAUAGGGAUCUAGUCCAUCUAAUGGCACCACUCCAUCUACCGAUCUUUUAUCUAAAUUGGUUAAAUCUUACACGAAUGAAUGAAUAUACAAUUCAGAUAACAUAAAUAAUCUGAUCAUAAAGUAAUUAAUCAUCACAUAUCAACAAGAUUCACCGGAAGAAUUACCUCAUAUCACAAUUAUGUGAGGUGGCUCAUGGGAUCACUAUAUUGAGGCAUCUGAGAGAAGAUGCUACACAUAGCUAUUGCUAUGAACAUGUUUGUUGAGGUGAUGUGUUAGAAAUAUGUGCUAGAGGUAAUCGUAGUGAUGAUUAAAAUUUGUUGUAACCAUGAAUUCUUAAAUGUCUCAUGAAUAAUACCAAUUGUAUUGAUUGGCAAGUAUGGGGCUUAUUUGUGUAACUCAAUGCUUGAAUGAUCAUUCCAAAGCAGCCCUUCACCGGAAUCCAUGUGAGGACACAUGAAUAUUACAUUUGCACAAAUAUUGGUUGAUGACCAUGUUUCACAUCUCAUGCACAUAGAAAUGUCAAAGCAAUAAUGCGAAACAAGUUAGGAAAAUGGGUCGGAUAGAACCAACUUGAGACAUAGCGAGAAUGCUUUAGUUGUCUCAUACAAUGUGUACUACGUGAGAUGUGUAGUGACUUACUUAGAGGUUACCAAACGCUACUCCAUAAUUAUGUAGUCAUAAAUGUUGGUUUCUUCUUUGUCAUGAAGCGUGCUUUGAAACGUGAUCAAUAAAUAUAUGAUUUUCCCAUCUUUAUACUUAGCGAGAGAGGGGGCUUCAAGUGAUCGGAUCCAUAAAUGCAUGGACAUGCUACUUUUUUGACAAACUGGAGCUCUCAAAGAGGUCUAUUUUUAUUAUCCAUCAUCCUAAAAAUGUACAAAGAGGAUGUUUCCCAAAGGAGAGUCGAUGGCUUCAUAAGCCAACCCGACAUUGCAUCGCGAAGUUUUGCUGCUGAGAUAAGACUAUCCACAAUGGGAGUAACAUAGAGUAGUAACAUACAUAUGUUAUUAGUCCAAGUUACUAUCUUUAGAAUGGAUAGUAACAUAGGGGUAGAUCAUUGAGCCUUUCAUUUAUUAGCUUAUAGACUCAUCUUGCCUUGAUAUGCGUUAUGUUACUCAUAGGUAGUAACAUGCUAAGUUACUCAAUUUCUCUCUCUUCUUAUUAAUUAGUUGUCACAUUAUAUUUUUUGUUUAGGUGGCAUCUACGAUACUACCUAUGUUACUCCCAUUGUGGGUAGUCUAAGAGUAGCUAGUAGAAAAUCUACACAAGAAUGCCCUUUUGGCAAGAGAAUGUGAUAAAAGGUUUUGAGCCCUAGGAAUUUGUGCAACCGUGGAAGAGACGGGAAAAGAAGUAAAGUCAAAGAAGUCGGCAAGAAUGGGUAUGAUCCACCAAUGUCCUGGAUUAUCAAGUAGGUUUUGCAAUUUGUAUAGAAGGAAAUAGCUCUGCAACCCAAAGCACUGAGUGUAGAAGUCGUUAGGAGUAAACCCAUUGCUUCAGGCUGCAAAACCUAAACCACAUUUGAGGCCACCCCCUGAAUGAAUAUAGUGUUGCAGAGAUCGAUUUUGAGAAACACCCGAAAAGAUGGCCACAUUCACCACAGAAGGAUUACGAGUCGCAUCCAUAUAAGCCAAGAAACCUGUAGGUUGCAAAGAUAGAUUUCUACAUGCAGAAAUAUUAGUAGUAGGCUUUGUAAGGGUCCUGCAUUUUUAGUAAUCAUACGAGCUACUUAAUUAAGGUUAAAGAGUUAACAUAGUAAAUAAUUUUGGGUCAUGUAAUCGAGAAAGUGUAGUCGAGCUUGAGCUUAACCAAUAUCAUGAGGCAAAAGGAAUGAUAUGCAUGCAAUGUUGUGUAUGCUUGUCCGAUAUGAUCUUUAUGUAUGUUUGAAAGAUGACACAUCCGAUUAGGGGCUGCUACUAACUAGUGACCGAGUAGGAGUGAUCAUGAUAUCUCCAACAUGUAAGAAGAGGGUCACACACUUAAAUGAUUGAUGUCAAAAUAGAUGCAAUCUGAAGGAUGUACAAGAAGCGGGCUAAUUUGGCCGUCAUUCCAUUAGGGAAAAGACUGGAGGGGAUGAAUCAAAGCCUAAAGGGGUCAUCGCAGUGGAGGGUUUCAGCAGCCCUAGGGCACCUCCACCUCUCACAUGUUGUUGCUAGCACAUGGCCGCCCAAUUCACUUAUAUCAUGUACAUGUGGAGGGAUUGUGGUCGCAACGUUGUGGCGAACCGUUUCCAAGAUCUCUCAAGGAAGAGACAAUAGACGCGCUUCGCCAACUCCACUUCGGCACACAAGGUUGCGCGCCUGGUGGUAUACUUGAAGUUGUGAUCUCUAACUACAUCAUGUUCCUCGGUGUUCAUGGUGAAAAAAAUGGUUUUGCACUAAUGUACUCCCUUCGUUCCUAAAUAUAAGUCUUUUUAGAGAUUCCACUAUAAACUAUAUACGAACAUAUAUAAACAUACUUUAGAGUGCAGAUUCACUCAUUUUGUUCGUAUGUACUCAGUAGUAGAAUCUUUAAAAAGACUUGUAUUUAUAAACGAAGGGAGUAGCCUACAUGGUUCCCUACAUAAUGUCCAUAGUCCACUUGGUGGACCACUUAGGGCAUCUAGGACCACACAUAGCAAAACGACCCCUCAAACAGAUAGGGCACGCCUUAAAUAAACAGAACUGCAUCCGGACAUCUCAUUAUAAAUUCUUAAAUUCAUGCAAAACCAUGCAAACGAAAAAACCUACAUACUAUAUAGAAACCUAACUACUACUCCUCGUCAGAGAUUUCCACGAUCUCCGUGCCCUUCGACGGAUACAUGUGCGGCAGCCGCAACUCCGCCCCCUCCUACACCUCCGUUUGCUCCGUUGCAGCGUCCUCCGCCACUAUAUUCGUGUCAAGCUUGUCGAAGAGGGUGUCGUCCUCCACCUGCCUCUGCCGGAUGAGUUUGAAGUUGGCCGACACCUUGACCUCAUCCGAUGGCCUACUGCUCCGUCAUCUCCUCGGCUUGGGCAAUGGCGAAGUCCGCAUCCGCCUCCAUCAUGUUCAAGCCUGGAGCAGGCUGGUCCUUCUCGUCCUCCUCAGCCUUGUCCUUCUUCAUCGGCUCCGACGGCUCCUCCUUCGGCUUCUCCGCCUCCUCCUCUUUCUCUAGCUCCGACGAGUCCGGUGGUAGACCCGUAGCGAUGCAGGCGGCACGUCGAGCCUAGAUCUCCGCCUCGACUGCAUCCGACGCUCCGGCAUCAGCAUAACAUAUGUGGUGAUCGUACAACAGACCAUACUAACGGUGGAGAGCAUGGGAGAGGAGGCGAACAUGCUUGAGUGGCGAGGGAGGAUGUGGAUGUGCUAGGGCUGGGGGGACGCCGACCAGCUUAAAUAGCCGGCUAUGACCUCGGACGACAAGCCGAAACGUCAUCACACGACGUUCACACCACGACGACGGUCAAUGCGUCCGUCGAACCGUCAGAUUUCCGGGCAAGUCUGUGUGAGACCCCAUCGCCAGGCCGCGUUUAAGAGAGGUGUCGGUCAGCCUAGACGUUUAAGCCACGUUUGAGGGGUCAAUGUAGAUGAAAAGACGACGAUUCCCCUCUUCCAUGGAGUACCAAAAGAAGGCUAAAGAUUGAAGUUUGCUUUCGAUCGCCAAAAUUGCAUACGUUGAAAAAAUUGCAUAAUAAUUUGUAAAAUAUUUUUUUAGAUCCAAGGUGAGGCGAUGCCUGUGGGCCCCACGUACCCUAGGUCCCGAAACCAAGAACACAUGUUGAUUAAUUUUCAGCUUAAUUUUUUAGACUAGACAUCAAGUAAGCAUUACACAUGUGCUUUCACCACAUCAAGUAAGCAUUACACAUGUGCUUACACCAAACAUGUGCUGACUUUUCAUUUGCCUAGGAGGGGCAAGGCCCCUAGGAUUGGCGGUCGAACAAGGACGCGAUAACAACAGGCCACCACCCAAACACAAUCCUGCGUUAUGUUGUGCAGGGGUCGAAGCUCUUGUAGAAAACUGAACAUGACUACUCCCUUCGUUCCUAAAUACUAUAAGUCUUUGUAGAGAUAGUGGACUACAUACGGAGUGUAUAUAGACAUACUUUAGAGUAUAGAUUCAAUCAUUUUGCUCCGUAUGUAGACCUUUAGUGAAAUCGCUUAAAAGACUUAUAUUUAGAAACGGAGGAAGUACAUGGAUGGUAUACAUGGAAGGUUGGAAGUGAUCUCUCUAUGACUCAAUCACCGAUUAGUUAAUUAAUGAUCGAUCUAAGCUUAAUUUCCUUGAUGAAUUGAUGAUAACACGAACUUGGAACUACUAGUAUUUGAUGCGUUCAACAGAUCUCGCCGCAAAAACCAAAUCUAGAUAAAGUGGCAUACUAUAUAGCAACAGGAUCAACGACAGAACCGAUUUGACGAUCCAAGCUACAACCGAUCACCUCUCCACCAACCACACCAACGAAGAAUCAUCAAGAAGAAAAAAACCUACACCGGAGUUCACCAACCCGAGUUCGAUGCUGGAUAGGAACAAGGACACGUACAGAUAAUCACCCACCCACCGAUCGGAAACGAGCGCGUCGGGGUGGUCGACGUCUAGUCGAAGCCAACGCCCCUCGCCGCCGCUGUCCACGCGCCCUGCGCGGCGGCAGGCCUCGUCGAGCUCCCGCCACGCGCUGCCGCGGCCGCCCUCGCGCAGUUCUCCAUGGAAGUGGACGCGGUGCCCGUGGGGGUGGCGCCGCCGCCGCAUUGGCCGUUGCCGUUGGCGCGGGACUGCGCGGCGGCCGUGGCGGCGGCGAGCGCGUCGUAGGCGUCGUCCUUGACGAUGACGAUCUCCUCCAGCUGGAUCCGCAGGUACUCCUCGCCCCCCUCCUCGGCGGCGGAAGCGGGCUUCGCAGCAGGAGCGGCGCGGCGGCCGGCGACCAUAGCGGCGAACCUCUCCAUGCUAAAACUGAAAUCAACUUGCCAGAAUCCCUAUGCCAAUGGAAUUGGAGGAUGCGGAGAUAUUUCUUGAGGGGAUGGAUCUUCCUUGUUUGCUUGGCGAAGAAGUGGUUGCUCCGCGGCCGCCCCGAUGCGUGACUGGUAGAUAUAGAGGAGAGGGGAACGUGGGCUCGUGUCGGCGCCGGACGAGUAAUCGGGCGCCACGUACGCAAUAACACGACGUCUUGUAGGGCUUUACGGCCUACGGCAAAAAUAACGACCCGGCAACUCUAGCGCUGCUUGGCCGGCCCAAUAAGUGCAAUAAGUGCUAGAGAGUUUUUUUGUUUUGUUUUGUGUUUCCUCGUUUUGUUCUUUCUUCAUGCGGAAUAAUGCUUCUGUUCGGCUAGAAAGAAAGUAUCUCUAUCGUCUUGAUCCCUAAGGUCAGAGAACCCAAGGGGAAUAAAGGAUCUGAGGCCA